rnacentral:rRNA from 1 species
AACGGUGGAUCUCUUGGCUCGUGCAUCGAUGAAGAACGCAGCCAGCUGCGAUAAGUAGUGUGAAUUGCAAAAUUCAGUGAAUCAUCGAAUCUUUGAACGNAAAUGGCGCUCUCGGGUUCUCCCGGGAGCA